UACGUAGGGAGCAAGCGUUGUCCGGAAUCAUUGGGCGUAAAGCGCGCGUAGGUGGCUUCGUAAGUCCGCUGUGAAAGUCAAAGGCUCAACCUUUGAAAGCCGGUGGAUACUGUGGGGCUAGAGUACGGAAGAGGCGAGUGGAAUUCCUGGUGUAGCGGUGGAAUGCGCAGAUAUCAGGAGGAACACCAAUAGCGAAGGCAGCUCGCUGGGACGUACUGACACUGAGGCGCGAAAGCGUGGGGAGCGAACAGG
rnacentral:rRNA from 1 species